GAUAGUUGGGAAAAUGUGCUGCCUUCGUUCUCUGCGUGGAAGGAAAUAUCUUCAUCUGCUGCAGGUGAGAUCUUUGGAAAACUAACUGCCCAAAGCUCUGAAGCUUUCAGCCUUCACGCUAACGCACGGGCCCAGCUGGCUGGAGAUUAAAGAGCGCCGUCUCAAACCAAAAAGCAUUUGAAAUUGCACCACUGAGCUGGCAGGAAAUUCCAGCUUUUUGUAGAUGUAGGAGGCGUUGGAACGGCGAGGAGCCAUAAGGCAACGUUCAGAGGUGAAUCGCAGCAUCAGCACCUCGCCAGGGAAGGCUGCCCCACCCCGAGCACUGCACUCGGGCACGGGGGGACCGUCCGCAGCCUUCCCAAAAUGUUGGGGAGCGAUGGGAGGAGGAGCAGCUUGGCUGGCAGCCGAGCUCCAGCUCCAGCUGUCUUCGUCUGCAGAAGAGGCCUCGUAAAGCUCAGGGUGAAUCCCAGUGAGGGGCUCGGCGCUGGCUUUUCACGUGUAGAGCUUCCACUGCUGUCAACUCCAGCGGGCCUCGGACGUGCCAAGAGAUCCCCAGCGCAGAUUUGGACGUCUCUGUCCUGCCCAAGAUAAACAGGCCCUUUGCUUCUCGGACUGAAGUGCUCAUCGCCUUGGAAGAUAACACAAAUUACCGGGGCUCUUAGCUGCUUGGAAAGGAGUCGGUGUGGAUUGAUCAUAGAGAAGAUUUGCCUGGAAGAAGCACGUAUGAUAGGAGAGCGAGAGGACUGCGUGGUUUUCAGGACCUUUAUCCUUUAUUUAGUGCAUGUGUGGGGACAGAGGGCAUAAAACGAGGCAGUCGGUGAUCAUCAAUUCUGAAAACCAUACAGAAAAUGAACACGGUGGCUCUUUCCCUUCCGCUCCUAUGCAGGCUGCCAAAGAUUAUCAUGCCGGUGACAAUGCUGGGAGGCAUCUCAAGAACUCGAGGCCUCCCGUGAAGCCAUUAGCACCAAAGGGAGGCGCCCCCCUCGCCCCCAGUGCUCAGCAGAGCUGGGAUCGAGCCCUGCCAAGGCGAGCAGCGCAGAGCAGAAUCCACGCUGAUGACAGAUGGAACGAAUGUUAUGGAUGCAUCCCAGGGCCGGGGCUGUUGCGCCACAUAAAUCAGUAGCACAACUUUGCCAGCUCCAAAUGCUUCGCAGGGCUGGACUUUCAGCCAGCUUCAUGUCUGGCUUUGCAACCCCAAAACCGUAUGGUCAAAGAAAUUGCGAAUGCACGUGCCCUCGUGUGAACCUCCAGCCUGUGGGGCUGUUUUCGGUCCGCCUCGUGUAGAUAAACGUGACUAAAAAAGCCAUCACUAAAAGAUAAUCCCUUGAUCUAAAUCCCAACGUUGCCCCGCACUCAUGGGCCGUGGAUGCUGCAGAUGAAGUGUGAGGUUCCAGGCUGCAGAUGCUGUCGGAGCUGCGCCGGUCGCUCGAAGCAUGUCGUGCUGCCAACGCCAGCCAAAGGCGAUGAGAUCCCAAAUAAUCGGGGGGGCCAAAAAAUAUUUCACGUUGCUCUCCCUGCCUGCGCGCUGGUGGCCGGGCUGCUCCUUCGCGGGGAGAAGCUCAAAGCACACAAACAUCGCGUGUGAAAACUCGCUCCUGUCAUGAAAGCUGCUUCCCAUACACAGCAUAAAUCCCAAGUGCUUGUGAUUUAAGACAAAAAAAAAAAAAGGGCAAAUAAAAAGAUUUGCUGUUAAAAUUAUGACUUGGCAGCACCGUGUAUGUGCGUGGGGGGGAAGUGCCUGCAACCUUUUUAGAGGAAUACUUGCCCUUUGGAGAAUGAACUUCCAUUAAAGUAAAAAGGCUUCACCCUUCUAGGUGGGAUUUUGGCAGCAUGGAGCGGAGGAAGGGCCCAACCGGCCGCUCCAGCUUUCUCACUCCAUUUCAGCCGUGACAAAAUGAAACGUUUUAAUGCAGCACUUCUAUCUCUGACAGCUGCGGUCGCCUCGUGUUUACAGAAGACAUCCUGUUGUUCAACGGAGACACUUUUGCCUUGUUGAAAUGAAACGACCCUUUUUUUUUUUUUUUCCUCCUUCUUUCCAAUCAUGGCUUUACGCAAUUCCCAUUCCGAGAGGCCGUUGCAGUGGGGACUCUCCCCUCCACUCCCAAACAAAAUCUGUGUUUUGCAACAUCAGGUUCUCCACCAAAAAAAACCAAACAGCUCUAAUUUGUGGAGCAGACGGUCCCAGCACCCACAGGGGGCUGGGUAUCGCGUUCAGUGUGGCUUGUAAGGGGAAAACCUGGUGGCCGUGGUGGCUCUUGCUGCGGCACGGAGGCCAGCACGUGAGCAGAUCCUGCUGCGAGCAUCCCCGCCCGCCUGCCCGCUGCAUGAAUCACAAGGAAACACCACCCCAGGGAACAAAUUGGUCAUUGUUUGAAAGAGCUGAUGGACGGCAUACAAGCGGGGGAAGAACUGUUGCAGUGCAGGCAGAGAGGGAGGCUGCGGCCGGCAUGCACGGCGUAGCCACGCAAACAUGAGCGAGGCCGGGCAUGCUUUGCUGCCUUACCAGAAGAGAGCGAUUUGCGCGUUUUGGGUUCCCUGAUCUAAAGAAACCUUUUCUUUGUACUGAGAAGGCAUAAAAUAAAAUAAAAUUACUCCCGUU